rnacentral:rRNA from 1 species
GAUGAACGCUGGCGGCAUGCCUAAAACAUGCAAGUCGAGCGGUAAGGCCCCUUCGGGGGUACACGAGCGGCGGACGGGUGAGUAACGCGUGGGAAUCUACCCCAAACUGAGGGAUAAGCAUUGGAAACGAUGUCUAAUACCGCAUAUGGUCUUCGGAUUAAAGCUUCGGCGGUUUGGGAAGAGCCCGCGUAAGAUUAGCUAGUUGGUGGGGUAAAAAGCUCACCAAGGCGACGAUCAGUAGCUGGUUCGAGAGGAUGACCAGCCACACUGGGACUGAGAUACGGCCCAGACUCCUACGGGAGGCAGCAGUGAGGAAUCUUCCACAAUGGACGAAAGUCUGAUGGAGCAAUACCGCGUGCAGGACGACGCUUUCGGUAGUGUAAACUAGCUUUGUU